GUGGGGAAUAUUGGACAAUGGGCGCAAGCCUGAUCCAGCCAUGCCGCGUGAGUGAUGAAGGCCUUAGGGUUGUAAAGCUCUUUUGUCCGGGAAGAUAAUGACUGUACCGGAAGAAUAAGCCCCGGCUAACUUCGUGCCAGCAGCCGCGGUAAUACGAAGGGGGCUAGCGUUGCUCGGAAUCACUGGGCGUAAAGGGCGCGGAGGCGGACUCUUAAGUAGGGGGUGAAAGCCCAGGGCUCAACCCUGGAAUAGCCUUCGAUAAUGAGAGUCUUGAGUGCGGAAGAGGUUGGUGGAAUUGCGAGUGUAGAGGUGAAAUUCGUAGAUAUUCGCAAGAACACCAGUGGCGAAGGCGGCCAACUGGUCCGAUACUGACGCUGAGGCGCGAAAGCGUGGGGAGCAAACAGGAUUAGAUACCCGAGUAGUCC
rnacentral:rRNA from 1 species